GAUGAACGCUGGCGGCGUGCCUAAUACAUGCAAGUCGAGCGAACAGACGAGGAGCUUGCUCCUCUGACGUUAGCGGCGGACGGGUGAGUAACACGUGGAUAACCUACCUAUAAGACUGGGAUAACUUCGGGAAACCGGAGCUAAUACCGGAUAAUAUAUUAAACCGCAUGGUUCAAUAGUGAAAGACGGUUUUGCUGUCACUUAUAGAUGGAUCCGCGCCGCAUUAGCUAGUUGGUAAGGUAACGGCUUACCAAGGCAACGAUGCGUAGCCGACCUGAGAGGGUGAUCGGCCACACUGGAACUGAGACACGAUCCAGACUCCUACGGGAGGCAGCAGUAGGGAAUCUUCCGCAAAGGGCGAAAGCUUGACGGAGCAACGCCGCGUGAGUGAUGAAGGUCUUCGGAUCGUAAAACUCUGUUAUUAGGGAAGAACAAAUGUGUAAGUAACUAUGCACGUCUUGACGGUACCUAAUCAGAAAGCCACGGCUAACUACGUG
rnacentral:rRNA from 1 species